ACGGAGGGUGCUAGCGUUGUUCGGAAUUACUGGGCGUAAAGAGCGCGUAGGCGGCCUGAUAAGUUGGAAGUGAAAGCCCGGGGCUUAACCUCGGAACUGCUUUCAAAACUAUUAGGCUAGAGUAUGGUAGAGGGUGAUAGAAUUCCUAGUGUAGAGGUGAAAUUCUUAGAUAUUAGGAGGAAUACCGGUGGCGAAGGCGGUCACCUGGGCCAUUACUGACGCUGAGGCGCGAAAGCGUGGGGAGCAAACAGG
rnacentral:rRNA from 1 species